rnacentral:rRNA from 1 species
UAGGGAAUAUUGGACAAUGGGGGCAACCCUGAUCCAGCCAUGCCGCGUGAGUGAAGAAGGCCCUCGGGUUGUAAAGCUCUUUUGUCCGGAAAGAAAAGCAUUCGGUGAAUACCCGGAUGUUCUGACGGUACCGGAAGAAUAAGCACCGGCUAACUUCGUGCCAGCAGCCGCGGUAAUACGAAGGGUGCAAGCGUUACUCGGAAUUACUGGGCGUAAAGCGUGCGCAGGCGGUUUUGUAAGACAGAUGUGAAAUCCCCGGGCUUAACCUGGGAACUGCGUUUGUGACUGCAAAGCUGGAGUACGGCAGAGGGGGGUGGAAUUCCACGUGUAGCAGUGAAAUGCGUAGAGAUGUGGAGGAACACCGAUGGCGAAGGCAGCCCCCUGGGCCUGUACUGACGCUCAUGCACGAAAGCGUGGGGAGCAAACA